GACGAACGCUGGCGGCGUGCCUAAUACAUGCAAGUUGAGCGCUGAAGGUUGGUACUUGUACCUACUGGGUGAGCAGCGCACGGGUGAGUAACGCGUGGGGAAUCUGCCUUUGAGCGGGGGACAACAUUUGGAAACGAAUGCUAAUACCGCAUAAAAACUUUAAACACAUGUUUUAAGUUUGAAAGAUGCAAUUGCAUCACUCAAUAGUUGUCCCGCGUUGGCUUAGGUAGUUGGUGAGGUAAAGGCUCACCCAAGCGAUGGUACAAUACCGACCUGAGAGGGUGGAUCGCCACAAUGGGACUGAGACACGGCCCAAACUCCUACGGGAGGGAGGAAGAGGGAAUCCUCGGGCAAUGACGGAAGGCUGACCGAGGCACGCCGCGUGAGGGAAGAAGGGUGUCGGGUCGGAAAAAUCGGUUUGUAGGGAAGAACGUUGGUGGGAGUGGAAAGCUCAUCUAGUGACGGUAACUACUCAGAAAGCGACGGCUAACUACGUG
rnacentral:rRNA from 1 species